GACGAACGCUGGCGGCGUGCUUAACACAUGCAAGUCGAACGCUGAAGCUCAGCUUUUGUUGGGUGGAUGAGUGGCGAACGGGUGAGUAACACGUGAGUAACCUGCCCCCUUCUUUGGGAUAACGCCCGGAAACGGGUGCUAAUACUGGAUAUUCACUGGUCUUCGCAUGGGGGUUGGUGGAAAGGGUUUUUCUGGUGGGGGAUGGGCUCGCGGCCUAUCAGCUUGUUGGUGGGGUGAUGGCCUACCAAGGCUUUGACGGGUAGCCGGCCUGAGAGGGUGACCGGUCACAUUGGGACUGAGAUACGGCCCAGACUCCUACGGGAGGCAGCAGUGGGGAAGAUUGCACAAUGGGCGCAAGCCUGAUGCAGCGACGCCGCGUGAGGGAUGGAGGCCGUCGGGUUGUGAACCUCUUUCGCUCAUGGUCAAGCCGCAACAAUGGUUGUGGUGAGGGUAGUGGGUAAAGAAGCGCCGGCUAACUACGUG
rnacentral:rRNA from 1 species